rnacentral:rRNA from 1 species
GAUGAACGCUAGCGGCAGGCUUAACACAUGCAAGUCGAGGGGUAUAGUUCUUCGGAGCUAGAGACCGGCGCACGGGUGCGUAACGCGUAUGCAAUCUACCUUUCACAGAGGGAUAGCCCAGAGAAAUUUGGAUUAAUACCUCAUAGUAUAAUGAGUUGGCAUCAACCCAUUAUUAAAGUCACAACGGUGAAAGAUGAGCAUGCGUCCCAUUAGCUAGUUGGUAGGGUAACGGCUUACCAAGGCUACGAUGGGUAGGGGUCCUGAGAGGGAGAUCCCCCACACUGGUACUGAGACACGGACCAGACUCCUACGGGAGGCAGCAGUGAGGAAUAUUGGUCAAUGGACGCAAGUCCGAACCAGCCAUGCCGCGUGCAGGAUGACGGUCCUAUGGAUUGUAAACUGCUUUUGUACGAGAAGAAACACUCCUUCGUGAAGGAGCUUGACGGUAUCGUAAGAAUAAGGAUCGGCUAACUCCGUGCCAGCAGCCGCGGUAA